GUAAAGAGCAUGUAGGCGGCUUAAUAAGUCGAGCGUGAAAAUGCGGGGCUCAACCCCGUAUGGCGCUGGAAACUGUUAGGCCUGAGUGCAGGAGAGGAAAGGGGAAUUCCCAGUGUAGCGGUGAAAUGCGUAGAUAUUGGGAGGAACACCAGUGGCGAAGGCGCCUUUCUGGACUGUGUCUGACGCUGAGAUGCGAAAGCCAGGGUAGCGAACGGGAUUAGAUACCCCGGUAGUCCUGGCCGUAAACGAUGGGUACUAGGUGUAGGAGGUAUCGACCCCUUC
rnacentral:rRNA from 1 species